GCUGCCCUUCACUUGGCCCGGGUCGCAAAAUCUUCAUUUGACUGCCUCUACGCUCAUCAUCGCUUAUUGUGAAUAUUCCAUCCUUCUGCUGCUGUACGACGUCCUGAAACUCUUCUUUACUCAGCCUUCUUAUAGGACAUAGACACUGUACUGUGCUGGUGGUCCCUGUCCUUUUCUGGCCCUUGUUGUGAGGAAUGUUUUCUUUUUUGUACUGAUGUUGAUGCAGCCACUUUGGUCCUUUCUUUGAGCCGCAAUGUCGUCUAAGAGGAACCCCAUCUUUAAUGACUGAUUGAAAAGCCUCAUCACCCCCCAUUGCUUAAGAACCUCUUAUCUUUAUCACUAGCCAUUAAUCAGUGACCACCGUUAUGAAAGCUCCAAGAUGCGCAUGAUGCAACUUCCUGGAUGGUGCUGAGCCUGUUUGUCAACAUGUGGAACCCACGUGUACUUAAGG